CGCCUGUUUAACAAAAACAUGUCUUUAUUGAUAAUAAUUUAAAGUCUGACCUGCCCACUGAUAAUUAUUUAAGGGCCGCGGUAUUUUGACCGUGCAAAGGUAGCAUAAUCAUUAGUUUCUUAAUUAGAAGCUUGAAUGAAUGGUUGGACAAGAUACUUUCUGUCUCAUAUUUAUUAUUUUGAAUUUUAUUUUUUAGUGAAAAGGCUAAAAUAUUAUUGUAGGACGAGAAGACCCUAUAGAUCUUUAUAUUAAUUUAAUAAUAUUUUGAUUAGUUAGUAUUUUUUAUAUUAUUUUAUUUUAUUUGGUUGGGGUGACUGGAAGAUUACUUUAACUCUUCUUAAUUAAUUACAAUAAUUAUUGAUUGUUUGAUCCUUUAUUAAUGAUUAUAAGAAUAAGUUACCUUAGGGAUAACAGCGUUAUCUUUUUUAAGAGUUGAUAUCUACAAAAAGGAUUGCGACCUCGAUGUUGGAUUAAA
rnacentral:rRNA from 2 species